CCUACGGGUGGCUGCAGUGGGGAAUAUUGGACAAUGGGGGGAACCCUGAUCCAGCCAUGCCGCGUGUGUGAAGAAGGCCCUCGGGUUGUAAAGCACUUUCAGUGAGGAAGAACGCCUGGUGGUUAAUACCCAUCAGGAAAGACAUCACUCACAGAAGAAGCACCGGCUAACUCCGUGCCAGCAGCCGCGGUAAUACGGAGGGUGCGAGCGUUAAUCGGAAUUACUGGGCGUAAAGCGCGCGUAGGUGGCUUGAUAAGCCGGUUGUGAAAGCCCCGGGCUCAACCUGGGAACGGCAUCCGGAACUGUCAAGCUAGAGUGCGGGAGAGGAAGGUAGAAUUCCCGGUGUAGCGGUGAAAUGCGUAGAGAUCGGGAGGAAUACCAGUGGCGAAGGCGGCCUUCUGGACUGAAACUGACACUGAGGUGCGAAAGCGUGGGUAGCAAACAGGAUUAGAUACCCUAGUAGUC
rnacentral:rRNA from 1 species